CAAGCACAACAUCCAGCACUCAGUGACUGUUGGCUAAAUGAAUGGGUCAGUGAACAAUUGAUAAAAUAAGCCAAUUAUUCCUUUCUUAGGUGUCAAAAGUAAUUUUAAUCUAGAGGAAUAAAGAUGGUUUAGAGGUCUCUAGCUGCUUUCUGAGUCCACAUUAAAGUUAUACUCAUUUUACUUGUUUUUUCAAAGUGACUGUGUAAGUGGUAUUAUGGUUUAGAUUUUAAAUGAUCCCCCAAAGGCUCAGUUACCAGCUUAUGGCACUGUUGAGAGGUGGUAAACUUCAGAAGGUUGGGCCUAGUGGAAGAAAGUUAGUUCAUUGUGGGUGUGCCCUUGAAGCAAAUAUUGGGAUCCUAGCCUCCCUGCCCCCUUCUGAUUCCUAGCUGCCAGGACAGACUUUCUCUUUGCCAUGUUCUCUGCCAUGAUGUACUGUGCCACCAGAGGCCCAAAGCAAUGAGGCUAAGCAACCACGGACUGAAUCUAUAAGCCAAAGUGAAUCUCCUCCUUAUAAACUGAUUUUCUUAGAUAUUUUGUCACAUCAACAGAAAGCUGAAUAACACAAGGAGUUAACCAUUACUUUGGAAAAUGACUACUGCAUGAUUCAGUGGUCAUUGAUCACACAAUGGCAUCAUGACAGUAAUUGUCCAUCCACCAUUUGGUAAUUUUCUGGAUUCUCACUCAGCCCAUAGAAACAAUUCCAAAGGUUUGUUUCAGGGUUCUCUGAUCAAUUGGACUAGGCCAAACUGAUGUAUAA
rnacentral:lncRNA from 1 species